CAGAAAACGUUGUUAUCCUUCAUCAUCUUAAUCCACUGAUUUUAAUCAUCACCAGAGUUUAAUUGUCGACAAUUAGAUUCAAAAUUUAAUCUCUUCUGGUUAACAAACAAUUAAGAAAAACUGACAAAACAAAUCAAUUUAAUGCCUCUCAAAAUGACCCAUCGUUAUGGUAACAUUAAAUUUGGAAGAUUUUUAAGUUUUAGUUAAGAUUAAAUCUCAUCAAAUUGGUAUAAAAAAAGGCUAUCGGUAUAAUAAUUGAAGAUGGUUGAAGUUUCUUGUAUCAUUUGUCCGGAAUGGAUCUUAAACUGAACGAGCAGCGAUUGAUUCGUGACCAGUUGCUCGAAACCUCCGUUACUUGGAUUUACUCAUCUUAAGCCACAAUUUUCAAUUCGAUGUGUUGAAGUGAGCGAAGAUCAAGAUAUCGGUGAUACCGUUGGUUCCGUUCUUAGAGGUUUUUUCACUCUUCGAUCAACACGAAAACAAUUAACUUUCACUAUUUUACCUCAUAAAGACACAAUUGAUUUGUAUUUUGUUUUUUAAUUUCACCUAUUUGUUUAUGUUUUGUUUACCUGUUGAAUUAAUUACCACUAGCAACAUGUCAAGAUUAACUUUUUUGAUACAAGCAAGUUAAUUAAUCACUUUAUUAAUCCGUUGAUUGUGCCAACAGUUAACUAAUUUUAAUUCUGGCAAUGGAUUUUGUUUAUUUAACUUUCAAUUCAACCAAAAAUAUGUAAAAAUACAAUCAAAGGUUUAACUUUUUUAAUGCCAUCGAGACUUGGAUAAGAAAAAAAAAAUCUUAACAUAAUCCUUGUAAAUUAUGCCAAAGGUAUAAUUGAUAGC